rnacentral:pre_miRNA from 1 species
ACUUUAACAUGGAGGUACUUUCUGUGUGUUUAAAAAGCAAGUGCUUCUGUGUUUUAGUGG